GGCCUCCCUCCCGCCCCCCCGCCGCGUCAUGGCUGCCCCGGGGCCCCUCCGGUUCCUCCGGGCCGCCGCCGCCGCCGCCUCCCGCCGCUGGCUCCUCUCCACCUCGCCGGCCGCCGGGGCGAGGCCGGGCCUUGCCGCUGCGGCGGGGGCAGCCCGGCCGUUCGGCCUGUCUGCGCGGGCGGCGCUCAGCUCAGAAGAUAAGAUAACUGUUCACUUCAUAAAUCGUGUUGGUGAUAAACUAACAGCCAAAGGAAAACCUGGGGAUUCACUGCUGGAUGUUGUUGUUGAUAAUAAUCUAGACAUAGAUGGUUUUGGUGCCUGUGAAGGAACACUGGCCUGUUCAACUUGUCACUUAAUCUUUGAAGACCACAUAUUUGAGCAACUGGAUGCAAUUACUGAUGAAGAGAUGGACAUGCUAGACUUAGCAUAUGGCCUCACAGAAACUUUAAUGUGGCUGAUAAGUUCUACUCAGGAUCCCCCAACACAUAGGUAGACGUAAGCUAAGAAGUACUGUAGAAUAGAGCCAGCUGCAUGUAGCACCAGCUUGAAUGUCUAUAACUUGCUUCCAGCAUUCUGGACCCUCUGAAAGAUCACGUUUGGGCUGCCAGAUCUGCUUGAAGAAAUCUAUGAAUGAUAUGACUGUUCGAGUACCUGAAGCUGUUGCUGAUGCUAGACAAUCGAUAGACAUGAGUAAAAACUCCUAGAAGAAAAUAUCAUAGGGGUUUUAAAGAAGCUUAAUUAUUUUUAUAACUUAUUUUUAAAUGUGUAAUUAAAUACAGAAGCUUACAUAAUUGUGAGUUAUUUUAUAUGACUAUCAAUAUUAGAUUAAUGCUAUUUUGACUUUCUUUAUAGAACCUCCUAUAUUUUUAUGCUUAAAAUGCAAUAAUACUUCUAAGUGAUCAUUGGACUAUAACUGUUAGCAAGAUAAGUGUAUUACAGAUUUCUUAUAAUAUUAAUUAUGCCAAAACUUUUAAUGGCAUUUGAAAACUUGAUCACUUCUACAGGACUUCCUAUAAAAAUGGGCAUUUCUAGGUUUCAGACCUAUGUAUGUUAGAGAGCAAAACUUAGCAGACUACAUGAGGUCUUCAGAAUGUCCUUUUGAAGACGGUAUGCUCAGAGUGCAGAAUACUGGCAGCUUAGUUGCUGCAGUACCUCUCCAUUGCCCGCAUCAGCAGUCAACAAACCUCAGUUUAACUGCAUUUAUCUUUGACUGCACCACAAAUGUGGAUAUUCACAUGGCUCAGAAGAGUAAAGACUCAGAGCUGCCUAAUGGUAGAGAGCAUAACUGCAGGAGGUAUAUGUAAAUUCUUGCUGUUAUCUGAAGCCUGGAUGACAGAGUUGGGAUUGAACAGGGCACUGUGCUGUCAACAUAAGAUUUGUUCUGAAGUCUUCAUCUCUUACUUUUUUAGUUGCAAGCUUGUUCAGGAGGCAGUCUGAUAUUAGAUAAGGUGUUCAGCUUGAAGAGAAUCCUGGAUUCUGGGCCUUGCUCCAAGAAUGAUUUCAAUAACUGGUUUAUAUGAAAUGACCAACUAUAUUUAUUCCAUAAAGAUGGAUUAAGUUCCCCAGAAAGGAUAGGGAGACCCCCAUGGUGGAUAUCCUAUAGGCUGAUGACUGAGAGCAUUCAGCUGGACCUUGGUUUAGUCCUUCUAAAGUAGGCCAAAAUAAAAUAAUGUCUCUAAAAUUCCAGUCUCUCUAGUUUUUGUUGCCUAAAUAAUAAACUGGCUAUCAGUAAUGUAUUACAUAAUGUAAUAUUUUUGAAUAUUGAGAUGAUUUUGAGCUUCGUAAAGAAGAAUAACAAUCUUUUGAUAUAAAAAGAAAUAUUUUCUAGAACUUGAAAAUAGUAAUUGAAAAUUGUAAAUAGUAAAAAAUGGAAAAUAGUAAAUCUAGUUCUGAUUCCUUGAUUUCCUUCUCACAGAAGCUAUUUCUUUGUUCUGUGGUGUUCCCUUUAGACUUUUCCCUUAAAACAAGAAACACUUAAUGUGAUCUGGUCAAAGAACUUAAUCAUUAGGGUUCUCAAAAUUCGCUUAAUAACUAGUCUUUGGGGAAAAAAAAAGGAAAAAGAAAAAGACUUCAGAGUUGAAAUUUCACCUCUCCUUGAAAGACAGAGAGCAGGGUUGGGGGGGAAGGAUAGAAAUAAAUCAAAGAAACGUUCUGAAGAUACUGCUGUCUUCCCUUUAACUGCUAUGACUCUAAGCAUAGUUUAGGGGUUACCUUCCCACAAUCACAAACUGCAGUGAAUUGGUUCUCACUUUGUAUUGCCUCUGCCCUGAGCUCAUUUAUCUACAAUAAUUCUCAUUAAAUCUUGAACUUUUAAUUUUUAAAUGAAACAUAGCUCCUUGAAUUCCAAGAGAGGACACUCAGGUAGGUCAUAACCAGGGUUAUAGCGUACUAUGCAUUCCUAAUAUGAAGAUAGAAGAGUAAUCAGCAUAGCUGUGAGGUUUGGGGGUGUAAAUUUUGUUUUGUUUUGUUUUUUCAUCUUACAGUACCAGGUUUUUCUCCUUGUGGGAAUCUCAAAGUGCUUAACACUGUAUUUGAAACACUGUGUGCCAAACAAAUGUGAAACAACUAACAUGCAACAGUUUUCCUUGUAAACCAAGGUUCUUUCUUUGUGCAUUUCAUGUGACAACUUCUUGUUAUUAAGACUUUGUGGCUCUCCUACAGUGUGCCUGUGGAAGGACACUUACUUAGCACAGGAAGGCCGAAGGACACUUCAAAGUUCAUCUUGAAUUCUAGAGGUAUGCUAUAUUGCAUAUAAAUGGAAGACUCCGAAAGAAGGCGAAGGAACUGAUAUGUACUCCCCAAAAUGCACAGCUCAGAGGUAUACUUGUUUCUUUAUUGUCAAAAUGAUUUGCAAAUAAAUCUUAUUUUAUAUCAGUUUCUGAGACACCUUGUUGGUAUUGAUUUGCUUCCCUCUUUGUCCUGUGCCACUGAAUGCAUUUCUGGAUGUAAAAUGGAAUUUAUAAAUACUUAUACUUAGCAGUUAAUGCACAGUCAAAUAUAAAUAUGACUUACUGUGGAGUGACACAUUAUUAAAGUAUCAGAACUACUUGAAUACAUGUUUACUGUUACUUCCUUGUGCAAAUAAAGAUUAUAGAUAACUCGC